rnacentral:rRNA from 1 species
UACAGAGGGUGCAAGCGUUGUUCGGAAUUAUUGGGCGUAAAGGGCGCGUAGGCGGUGCGGUAAGUCUGCUGUGAAAGUCCAGGGCUCAACCCUGGAAGGCCGGUGGAAACUGUCGGGCUAGAGUCCGGAAGAGGCGAGUGGAAUUCCCGGUGUAGCGGUGAAAUGCGCAGAUAUCAGGAGGAACACCGGUGGCGAAGGCGGGUCUCUGGGCCGGUACUGACGCUGAGGAGCGAGAGCGUGGGGAGCGAACCGG